UACGGAGGGUGCGAGCGUUAAUCGGAAUUACUGGGCGUAAAGCGCGCGUAGGCGGUCUGAUCAGCCGGUUGUGAAAGCCCCGGGCUCAACCAGGGAACGGCAUCCGGAACUGUCAGGCUAGAGUGCAGGAGAGGAAGGUAGAAUUCCCGGUGUAGCGGUGAAAUGCGUAGAGAUCGGGAGGAAUACCAGUGGCGAAGGCGGCCUUCUGGACUGACACUGACGCUGAGGUGCGAAAGCGUGGGUAGCAAACAGGAUUAGAUACCCUGGUA
rnacentral:rRNA from 1 species